rnacentral:rRNA from 1 species
AGCGAACGCUGGCGGCGUGCCUAACACAUGCAAGUCGAACGUGAAAAGGGAAACCUGAGUAAAGUGGCGUACGGGUGAGUAACGCGUAGGUAAUCUACCCCAGAAUCUGGAAUAACCUGCCGAAAGGCGGGCUAAUACUGGAUAGAGCGAGGGAACUCGUAAGAGAGUUUUUCGGGAAAGGGAGCCCGCAAGGGCCUUCGUUCUGGGAUGAGCCUGCGUCUCAUUAGCUAGUUGGUAAGGUAACGGCUUACCAAGGCGAGGAUGAGUAGCUGGUCUGAGAGGAUGAUCAGCCACACUGGAACUGAAACACGGUCCAGACUCCUACGGGAGGCAGCAGUGGGGAAUCUUGCGCAAUGGGCGAAAGUCUGACGCAGCCACGCCGCGGGAGGGAAGAAGGCCUUCGGGUUGGAAAGCUCGGUCGGAUGGGACGAACAUCUUCAUAGUGAAUAGCUAUGAGGACUGACGGUACCAGCAAAGGAAGCACCGGCUAACUCCGUG